rnacentral:lncRNA from 1 species
UUUGUGAGUACACCAGUGAAAACAGUACCCAUUAUUCAAAACAUCCUCGUGCCAUUAAGAAGAUGCAUCUGUUGGAAAGUCCAAGGACUUAAAAAGACCUGAAAAAGAAGGAGAGGAUGCCUUCUGGGGAAGAAGGAGACUCUCAAAAGCACAGCAGCAAGGUUCAGCUACCCAAGACUUUCAGAUCUCAGAAGGCGUCUUGAAAAAUCAUCCUGAUCUUACUUGGUUCACGACUGCAUGCAAACACCUUUAAAAAGAAGGACUUUUUAAAUGGAUAUUCACGUGGCUUUGACCAAAAUGCAGCCUUGCAAAUAACUGUAAGGCUGAACUACCUGCAGGCUUAAAGCUGCCAGCAAGAACAACGCCGAGAUUCUCUGGACCUGGAGCAAGGGAGAAGCCCCAGCGAACCAUCAAACUUGUCCUAGGAGCCAAUGGAUAUUCCUCUUCUGCUGCAGCUUUUUGUACAGCUUGGUUUCAUUCCACAAAGCUGCAAGAAAGCUCAGUAGAAAUUCUGAAACUGCCUGUGAGGGACCAGCUCAUGAUCCCAACCACCAACACUCAGGAGAAGACAGAAAAGAUGGCUUGGGGCUCUGUAGCAAUUUCCCCAGCAGGUCCUGGGAGCGUGUUCUGCAAAGUGCUAUUGAGCUAUCAUUGCCUUCUGCUUUCUCUGUGGGAUGAGGGGGACACUAAAUCCUUACAAUAAGGAGUCAAAAGUGUCCCCAGAUUGCAGCAGAAGAUGAUCAUCCUAACAAAACUACUCCAAACUGAAUGAGCCCACAGGAGAAAGCUGUAACCCUUCAGUAACCUCAUGUGAGCAACCGAUGUCAGAUUUUUUGAACAGAAGGACUUAAAUCAGCUCAAGCUGAAAGCUUAAUUCAGGGUCAAGCAACAGCCAGAAUCCCUGUUCUGUCCCUGUUCUCUCCUCCCAGACAAGUCUCUCCUUAAUAUAUGGCUCCCAAGGUAUCAAGAGCAUGAGGGAGCACACGUAACCAUCGGCUCUAGGUGUGUGGGACGAGAGGAAAAAGAGCCUCAUCCACAGACACUGCCGGAGAGCUGGCAGUGAGUCCUGUCAGGCAGAGUGAAAAUUUCAGACAUCAGCAGUUUGGUCUAAACCCACUGUUUUGCAUGUGGGUUUUACAAACCCAAGCUUGUACAACAGAUGUCACAAACAGUCCCCAGACAUGUCUGAGAGACAAUUCGCAGGCAGCUCCUGCCUUCCUACACAUUUUAUGGAUUAAAUCCAUAAUCCGAGAGUUUGAUCUGAGUCGUGUAAAUGUUUGAACUAAAUGCUUGAUUUGGACCUGGCUCCCCAUCCUGUCUUAUUUCUGCUUGGGUUUGUUGGGAAUACAAACCUUCAGACUGUGGAUGUGUCAUCUAUUUUGUUUCUGCUGACUUUGGCAUGUGAACGUAUCCUG